GCUCAGAACGAACGCUGGCGGCAGGCUUAACACAUGCAAGUCGAGCGCCCCGCAAGGGGAGCGGCAGACGGGUGAGUAACGCGUGGGAAUCUACCCUUGACUACGGAAUAACGCAGGGAAACUUGUGCUAAUACCGUAUGUGUCCUUCGGGAGAAAGAUUUAUCGGUCAAGGAUGAGCCCGCGUUGGAUUAGCUAGUUGGUGGGGUAAAGGCCUACCAAGGCGACGAUCCAUAGCUGGUCUGAGAGGAUGAUCAGCCACAUUGGGACUGAGACACGGCCCAAACUCCUACGGGAGGCAGCWGUGGGGAAUAUUGGACWAUGGGCGCAAGCCUGAUCCAGCCWUGCCGCGUGAGUGAUGAAGGCCCUAGGGUUGUAAAGCUCUUUCACCGGAGAAGAUAAU
rnacentral:rRNA from 1 species